UACGUAGGGGGCAAGCGUUGUCCGGAAUCAUUGGGCGUAAAGCGCGUGUGGGCGGUUCGGUAAGUCGGCUGUGAAAGUCCAGGGCUCAACCCUGGGAUGCCGGUCGAUACUGCCGGACUAGAGUUCGGAAGAGGCGAGUGGAAUUCCCGGUGUAGCGGUGAAAUGCGCAGAUAUCGGGAGGAACACCAAUGGCGAAGGCAGCUCGCUGGGACGUUACUGACGCUGAGACGCGAAAGCGUGGGGAGCAAACGGG
rnacentral:rRNA from 1 species